GUCCACGCCAUAAACGAUGAGUGCUAGUUGUUGGGGGGAAGACCCUCAGUGACGCCGCUAACGCAUUAAGCACUCCGCCUGGGGAGUACGGCCGCAAGGUUAAAACUCAAAGGAAUUGACGGGGGCCCGCACAAGCGGUGGAGCAUGUGGUUCAAUUCGAAGCAACGCGAAGAACCUUACCAGCCCUUGACAUGGGGAGUAUGGAUCUGAGAGAUCGGAUCCUUCAGUUCGGCUGGCUCCCACACAGGUGCUGCAUGGCUGUCGU
rnacentral:rRNA from 1 species